rfam:Camelus ferus unplaced genomic scaffold scaffold1086, whole genome shotgun sequence.
GAGGGUAUAGCUCAGUGGUAGAGCAUAUGCUUAGCAUGCACAAGGUUAUGGGUUCAAUCCCCAGUACCUCUG